rnacentral:rRNA from 1 species
AAGUCGUAACAAGGUUUCCUUCUCGGUUAAAGCUUUAACCUGCUGAAGCCUGACACAGCGACUAUAAAUCAAUUGUGGAGUCUUGACUUUGGGCAAGACAAUGCCGCUGAAAUGCUGUCAUCAACUGUUGUUGUACCAGCAGCCAGAUCCGUCUUGAGUGACCACUGGCCCACAGAUCAAGGUGCGGUGGUUUCGGUUGAUCUCUCAACGAAACUUUGAUAUGACCGGUCCCAACCGUGAUGGUUGAGAGUACACGUUCCGUAGGUGAACCUGCGGAAGGAUCAUUACCGAGUCAGGGUCUUUCAGGCCCGAAACUCCAACCCUAUGUUUAUCUACCAUGUUGCUUUGGCGGGCCCGUCUUAACCGACCGUGGGAGGCUCGUCCUCUCGCCAGUGCCCGUGAGUAGCCCCCUUAAAUUCGUCAUAAUAGUGAUGUCUGAGUCUAAAUUUAAUCGUUAAAACUUUCAACAACGGAUCUCUUGGUUCUGGCAUCGAUGAAGAACGCAGCGAAAUGCGAUAAGUAUUGCGAAUUGCAGAAUUCAGUGAGUCAUCGAAUUUUUGAACGCACAUUGCGCCCUUUGGUAUUCCGAAGGGCAUGCCUGUUCGAGCGUCAUUAUCAACCCUCAAGCCUGGCUUGUCAUUGGACCUCGUCGUUGAAGACGGGCCCGAAAGAUAACGACGGAGUCGUGUCCGACCCUAGAUGCAAUGAGCUUUUUAGCACGCAUCAUGGUGGUCGGCCGGCCUGGUCUUAACCCUUUAUUUCUCAAGGUUGACCUCGGAUCAGGUAGGAAUACCCGCUGAACUUAAGCAUAUCAUUAAGCGGAGGAAAAGAAACCAACAGGGAUUACCUCAGUAACGGCGAGUGAAGCGGUAACAGCUCAAAUUUGAAAUCUGGCCUUCACGGGUCCGAGUUGUAAUUUGUAGAGGAUGUUUCGGGCAAGGUGGCGGUUUAAAUUUCUUGGAACAGAAUGUCAUAGAGGGUGAGAAUCCCGUCUUGAACCGUCGUCCGCGUCCAUGUGAAACUCCUUCGACGAGUCGAGUUGUUUGGGAAUGCAGCUCAAAAUGGGUGGUAAAUUUCAUCUAAAGCUAAAUAUUGGCCAGAGACCGAUAGCGCACAAGUAGAGUGAUCGAAAGAUGAAAAGCACUUUGAAAAGAGAGUUAAACAGUAUGUGAAAUUGUUGAAAGGGAAGCGCUUGCAACCAGACUUGUGUGUAACGGUUCCCCCAGUCUUUUGACUGGACUAUUCCGUUAUAUCCAGGCCAGCAUCGGUUUGGGUGGUUGGUUAAAGAUCCUGGGAAUGUAUCUACCUUCGGGUCGACUUAUAGCCCAGGAUGCAAUGCAGCCCACCCGGACCGAGGCACGCGCACCUGCUCGGAUGCUGGCGUAAUGGUUGUAAGCGACC